rnacentral:rRNA from 1 species
UACAGAGGUGGCAAGCGUUGUUCGGAAUUACUGGGCGUAAAGGGCGCGUAGGCGGCCAUCUAAGUCAGACGUGAAAUCCCCCGGCUUAACCUGGGAACUGCGUCUGAUACUGGACGGCUUGAGUAUGGGAGAGGGAUGUAGAAUUCCAGGUGUAGCGGUGAAAUGCGUAGAUAUCUGGAGGAAUACCGGUGGCGAAGGCGGCAUCCUGGACCGGCAUUGACGCUGAGGAGCGAAAGCUAGGGGAGCAAACGGG